rnacentral:lncRNA from 1 species
AAGGGUUUGACUGUGUGACUGGAAGGUCGGAUAUGAUAUGUGAUAUACGUGCUAUAUGUGGUAAGUUAAUUGUUAUGCGUGCUAUGUAUGUUUAUAUGGGCCGGAAGGCAAUAUGUUAUGGGCCGGAAGGCGAUUAUGUUAUGGGCCGGAAGGCGUUGUGUUGUGGACCGGAAGGUCAGGGCCUGGAAAGGCGUAUGUGCGUAAGUUGUAUAUUGGGGAACUCACUAAGCAUUUAUGCUUACAGUUGUUAUGUAUGUGUUUCAGGUACUAGCGAGGACCGUGGGAAGGCGCCGGCGUGAUCUGUACACACUGAUUGAUGUUUUGAGAUCUUGGGAAUUCUAUGAAUUGUAUUUUGACAUAACACUUGGAAUAAUUAUGCUUUGUUUGAAUGAAAAUACUUUAUUUUUGAAAUGAAAAAUUUGUUUGAAAAUUUGCGUUGUUACAAUUGGUAUCAGAGCCUUGGUUUGAGGGAUUCGGGUGCACCUUCGGGCGUAACUGAACUCAAACCGAGGAUUUGAGGAAAACUUUUAAAAUAAAGGCAUAAACUUUUGUAAAUGGUUUUGUGGUAAGCAAGAAAGAAGCAGUGUGUACGAUCAGUCAGCGCCCGAACGGUAAAGAUCCCCAAAAUACCUUACAAUAUUAUAUGAUAUAAAUUGUUAUGCAUGCUAGAAGACUAGGUAUUCAUGAUAGGACUAGAGUGGCCUGAUUUGUGAUGCCUUAGUCUAGGGAAGUUUGCCGAUAUGAGAUGCUUUGCUAGUGUGCGGGUAGAUAGUGCAUAACAGAAGUAGAGUACUCACUAUCCGGGGUUUGGGGAGGAAGAUUUGGGAUGAAUGCUGAUGCGGUGUGGUCGGUAGUAUUGGGCCCGUACUACCGAAGACACCGGGUCAGUGGGAGACCCAAGUAAGAAUCCCUGGAUAUCGGAGACUGAGUAGGGUUGCGUUAUCGAGUGCGAUUAUACUCGAUGGAGUCUCUGAUAGUUUUAUGUUGUAUUUCAGAGACAUCAUGGUUAGACCACGCCACGGAGCGAGUUCGAGCGGUGUGAGUGACGAGGAGAUUCGUCAGAUGAUUCACGAGGAGGUAGCGGCGGCGAUCCGGGCUGAGAUCCCGGAGAUGUUUGGGUCUAUUAAGACCACCCUGAUGGAGACGUUCGAUGAGCGGUACGCCGCAUUGACUGAGGCUGCAACCGCUGCAGCUACCGCAGCUGUGGCCGCUGCUAGGCCACAGGGGGGUGACUCGUUGCUGUUCCGAGAGUUCAGCAACACGAAGCCACCGGAGUUCGAUGGGACGCAGGAUCCGAUUGCUGCGAUGAGGUGGAUCGCGGAUAUAGAGGGGUGCUUCUACACUUGUUCAUGCCCGGAGCACCUGAGGGUACGGUUCGCUUUGAACCAGCUCCGUCUGGGAGCGAAGGACUGGUGGAAGUUCGUGACGGCGAACUUCACUUUGGCAGAGAUUACAGCAGUGACAUGGGAGGGGUUUACUGCCAUGUUCAGGGAUGAGUACGUUCCCCCGGUGGAGAGGGAACGAUUGGUUCAGGAGUUCUUAACCCUCAAGCAGGGUACUGAUUCUGUUGCGGUGAUCACGCGGAAGUUUCAUGAGAGGGCGAUGUUCUGCCCCGAGCUGGUGUCCACUGAUCAGGCUCGGAUGAGCCGGUACUUGGGAGUGUUGAGGAGGGAUAUCCGGGAGUUUGUGUCAAACUCCACUUACCAUACUUUUGCUGAGCUUCAGGCGAAUGCCAGGAAGCGCGAGAUCGAGUUGGAGACCCAGGCCAGGGAGGAGGCCGAGUCUCAGCGGGUGAACCGGCGACCGGCUCAGUUCCAGCCGGCAGCCAAGCGGAUAAAGUCCGCCGAUGCGAGCAAAGGAGGUUCGAAGGGCCGCACUUGCGGAAAGUGCGGCAAGGGUCAUGAUGGGGCGUGUCGAUCUGGUGCUUGCUACAAGUGUGGCAAGGAGGGGCACAUUGCUAGGGAGUGCCCCAAGGGGUUUACGGUUUGCUUUCAUUGCAACCAGACCGGCCAUCGGAAGGCCGAGUGCCCUCAGCUUCGUCAGGGAUCUGCACCUACUGCCAGGACUACUGAGACUCGACCGGUGAAGGCCGAGGCCCCGAGGGCUCGUGGGAGAGCCUUUCAGCUGACUGCGGAGGAGGUCCGCGCUGCGCCCGAUGUCGUGGCAGGUAUGUUGUAAUUCAUGUAUUUAUUUUAAUGUCGAGAUGUUAUGCUUAUGUUAUUAUAUGCGUAGGUACUUUCCUUGUGAACUCUGUGCCUGCCUUAGUGUUAUUUGACUCGGGUGCGAGUAGGUCCUUUGUGUCCUUAGCCUUUAGUCAGCAUAUCAGCGUUAGUCGUGAGUCGUUGAGUCGACCUUUGAGAGUUUCUAUAGCUGACGAGAAAGUGAUUUGUGCCACGGAGGUUCUUCGGGGAUGUGUACUAGAGAUUUUCGGGGUUGAAUUCCCGAUUGACCUGAUUCCUAUUGCGAUGGGUGAUGUCUGUGUCAUCGUGGGCAUGGACUGGUUGAGCCGAUUCGGCGCUGUCAUCGACUGUGAGCGUCAGCUGGUGACUAUACGAGACCAUAGUGGGGGAGUUCUUUCGGUGUACGGCGAGGGUACCCGUUCGGGAUCAGCUUUUUGUUCGGCCGCUAGGGCGAGGCAGUGUCUACAGCAGGGCUGUAAGGGUUUUGUGGCGUAUGUGAUGGAUACGCGGGAGGUUUCCGAGAGACCGAAAUCAGUUGAGGAGGUCCCUGUGGUGCGUGAGUUUCCAGAUGUUUUCCCCGAGGAGCUGCCGGGAGUACCUCCUGUGAGGCAAGUAGAGUUUGGUAUCGAUCUGGUUCCGGGGGCCGCGCCUAUUGCUAAGGUGCCUUAUCGUCUUGCACCUCCAGAGAUGCAAGAGUUGUCCUCGCAGCUCCAGGAGUUGCUGGGGAAGGGAUUCAUUCGGCCGAGCAGCUCGCCGUGGGGAGCACCUAUUCUGUUCGUCAAGAAGAAGGAUGGUUCACACCGGAUGUGCAUUGAUUACCGGGAGUUGAACAAGUUGACGGUCAAGAACCGUUACCCGUUACCGAGGAUCGAUGAUUUAUUCGAUCAGUUGCAGGGAGCAUCUUGGUUUUCCAAGAUCGAUCUGAGGUCAGGGUACCAUCAGGUGAGAGUGCGGGAUGAGGAUGUCCAGAAGACAGCGUUUAGGACGCGAUAUGGGCAUUAUGAGUUUGUGGUGAUGCCUUUCGGGCUCACCAAUGCCCCGGCUGUGUUCAUGGAUCUCAUGAACAGGGUAUGCAGACCGAUGUUGGAUCGGUCAGUGAUUGUAUUUAUCGACGACAUUCUGGUGUAUUCGAGAUCUAGAGAGCAGCAUGAGGAGCAUUUGAGGGAGGUCCUUGAGGUAUUGAGGUCGGAGAAGCUUUAUGCAAAGUUCUCCAAAUGUGACUUCUGGCUGCGGGAGGUCCAAUUUCUAGGACAUGUUGUCAAUCAGAAAGGGAUAUUGGUCGAUCCGGCCAAGGUUGAGGCGGUGAUGAGUUGGGAGGUGCCGAAGUCACCUUCUGAGAUCAGGAGCUUCCUUGGGUUGGCAGGGUAUUAUCGGAGAUUCAUCAAGGAUUUCUCCAAGAUCGCAGUGCCACUCACCAGAUUGACCCGGAAGGGUGUUGCAUUCUCAUGGGGGCCCGAGCAGCAGACCUCCUUUGAGACACUUCGCCAGAGGUUGUGCGAAGCCCCGGUAUUAGCUCUCCCGGAAGGGAUGGAAGAUUUUGUGGUAUAUUGCGACGCAUCGAUUUCGGGACUGGGUGCAGUGUUGAUGCAGAGGGGUCAUGUGAUAGCGUAUGCGUCGAGGCAGCUGAAGCCUCAUGAGGCGAGAUAUCCCACGCAUGAUUUAGAGUUGGGGGCAGUAGUGUUCGCUCUCAAGAUUUGGCGUCACUACCUGUAUGGGGUUCGAUGUACGAUAUACACGGACCAUAAGAGCUUGAAGUAUUUGAUGGAUCAGCCCAACCUAAAUAUGCGUCAGAGGAGGUGGUUGGAUGUGGUCAAGGAUUAUGAUUGUGAGAUCCUGUACCACCCAGGCAAGGCUAAUGUGGUAGCCGACGCGUUGAGCCGCAGGGCGGAGAGCACUCCAUUGCGAGAUGUAUGCUUGAGACUGACUGUGAUGACUCCAGUAUUGGAUGCUAUUCGUGGGGCACAGGCCGAAGCUGUGCGACCAGAAAUGCAGAAGAAAGAGCGGGUUGUGGGGUUAAUUUCAGAGUUCGUUAAGGAUGGACGAGGGCUUAUGACGUUUCAGGGUCGGAUUUGGGUACCGUUCGUGGGCGGUACGCGUAUUACUUUGAUGGAAGAGGCUCAUAGAUCGAAAUUCUCGAUCCAUCCCGGUGCUACGAAGAUGUAUUUGGACUUGAGGAAAGAGUAUUGGUGGCCCUGUAUGAAGAGGGACGUCGCAUGGUUCGUUGAGAGGUGCUUGACCUGCCGUAGGGUUAAGGCCGAGCACCAGAGACCGCAUGGCAAGUUACAGCCAUUGGAGAUCCCCGAGUGGAAGUGGGAACAGAUCACUAUGGAUUUCAUCACCAAAUUGCCGAGGACUGCCAGGGGAGUUGAUGCAAUUUGGGUGAUUGUGGAUAGGUUGACGAAGAGUGCACACUUCCUUGCCAUCAGUGAGAGUUCUUCAGCGGAGAAGUUGGCGGAGAUAUAUGUGAGAGAGGUGGUAUCUCGGCAUGGGGUACCGAUCUCGAUUGUUUCAGACCGUGAUGUGCGUUUCACUUCCAGGUUCUGGAAGAAAUUUCAUGAGGAGCUGGGUACUAAAUUGCAUUUUAGUACCGCAUACCAUCCCCAGACAGACGGUCAGAGCGAGCGGACGAUUCAGACGCUGGAGGACAUGCUUCGAGCGUGUGUGUUAGACUUCGGGGGUAGCUGGGAUGCAUAUUUACCCUUAGCAGAGUUUUCCUACAACAACAGCCAUCAUUCGAGCAUUGGUAUGCCACCUUUUGAGCUGUUGUAUGGUAGGAGGUGUCGGACCCCCAUUUGCUGGGGAGAGGUGGGACAGAGAGUGAUGGGCAGCACAGAGAUCGUGCUUCAGACGACAGAGCAGAUUCAGCAAGUUAGACAGAGGUUAUUGACCGCCCAGAGCCGACAGAAGAGUUAUGCAGACAGGCGCCGAUCCGAGCUUGAGUUUCAAGUCGGCGACUUCGUUCUCCUGAAGGUCUCUCCUUGGAAAGGAGUGAUUCGAUUCAGGAAGAGGGGCAAGUUGGGGCCCCGGUAUAUUGGGCCAUUUCGUGUGAUUGCAAGGAUAGGCCGGGUAGCCUAUCGGUUGGAGUUGCCAGCGGAGUUGGGACAGAUCCACGACACUUUUCAUGUGUCGCAAUUGAGGAAGUGCAUAGCCGAUGAGUCGGCAGUGGUUCCAUUGGAGGAUAUUCAGGUGGAUGCGAGCCUGAAUUAUGCUGAGAGACCAGUGGCCAUCAGGGAUCGGAAGAUCAAGGUUCUGAGGAACAAGGAGGUACCUCUGGUGUUGGUUCAGUGGCAACACCGUAAGGGAUCGGAAAUGACUUGGGAGCCGGAACGUGAGAUGCGGGAGCAGCAUCCGGAACUAUUUUCAGAGUGAGACUUCGAGGGCGAAGUCUAAUCCUAGUGGGGGAGAGUUGUAACAGCCCGGAAUCUCAGGUAUUGUUAAAUUAUGUUUUUGGGGUGAUUUAAGAGGGGACUCGGCGAGUUGGAGCCUAGACUCGCCGAGUAGGAUCGCAGACUUGGUCGCGGGUUCGCGACUGGACUCGACGAGUCCAGAUAUGGACUCGGCGAGUCUACGCUGUUUAGCGAAAACCCUAACCGUUCAGGUUUGGGACGUAUAAAAGGGACUUAUUGGCCGUCAUUGUUCAUUUUAGCCUUCUGAGAAGAACCCUAAAUCGAUUGUGUGCAUCUGGAGCAAGGAUUAUAGGCCAUUGUUGAUUAUAGAAGAGUUGUUGUGCAAGGAAGAGAAGGGAUUGGCUAAAGGAACAGCAAGGGAGUCACAUUCUGAGGAUUGGGGACACAGAGGAUACAUCAUCCAGGUAAGAAUUCGAGUAUACUCUGCUAUGUUGAUGUGAUUAUGGAAUUAGGGUUUAUGGAACCCUUUUGUGAAUAGAUUGAAUGUUACCCUAGUCCCCCAAACGAUUGUAACCCUGUAUUGGGACCUUUGGAGGUCCAGAAUGUCCCAUGUCUGUGCAUUUCGGGAAUUGAUGAAGGUUUUGGAUUGGAAUCCUUAUGCCUUAGGUCAAAAUGUAAAUUAUGAAUCAUAUGGUGUAUCAUGAGCACUGAAAUGAGGACUUUACGUGAUGGAUCAGCCUAGGAAGGCCAGACCUAGGAAUGGUCGGAGCAGUUCUGACCUUAGGAUGCAGUUUGAGCGGUUGCAUGGCAUGGACUCGCCGAGUUCGAUGAACAGACUCGGCGAGUAGCUUGAAGAUUAACUGGGACUCGUCGAGUUGUUCUUCAGACUCGGCGAGUUGAGUCGGGGUGGCCCCGCGAUUCUUCCAGGAGUAACUCGUCGGGUCAAGGAGGAUACUCGACGAGUAGAAGGGGAAUCUUAGAGGGUUGGAGGACGUCUAGACUCGCCGAGUCGCCAUGGCACUCGCCGAGUCCGGUCGAGUUGACCGUUGACCGUUGACCAGAGUUGACCUAUGUGUGACUUCUUAGGGUCAGUUAACUUAGAAGAUAAAAGUGUUAAUAAGAGAUAUAUGAUGUUAUAGGGAGUUUGUAGCUCGGCGGAUCGAGCACGAGUGAUUUCAGGAUUUGCUAGCUUUCAGUAUUCACGAGGUGAGUCUUCUCACUAUACUGUACCCGGAAGGGUUUGACUGUAUGACCGGAAGGUCAGAUGUGAUAUGUGAUAUAUGUGCUAUAUGUGGUAAGUUAUUUGUUAUAUGUGCUAUGUAUGUUAUGGGCCGGAAGGCGAUUAUGUUAUGGGCCGGAAGGCGUUGUGUUAUGGACCGGAAGGUCAGGGCCUGGAAAGGCGUAUAUGCGUAAGUUGUAUAUUGGGGAACUCACUAAGCAUUUAUGCUUACAGUUGUUACGUAUGUGUUUCAGGUACUAGCGAGGACCGUGGGAAGGCGCCGGCGUGAUGUGUACACACUGAUUGAUGUUUUGAGAUCUUGGGAAUUCUAUGAAUUGUAUUUUGACAUAACACUUGGAAUAAUUAUGCUUUGUUUGAAUGAAAAUACUUUAUUUUUGAAAUGAAAAAUUUGUUUGAAAACUUGCGUUGUUACA